UACAGAGGUGGCAAGCGUUGUUCGGAAUUACUGGGCGUAAAGGGCGCGUAGGCGGUCUUCUAAGUCUUGUGUGAAAUCCCUCGGCUCAACUGAGGAACUGCACGGGAUACUGGAAGACUUGAGUUCGGGAGAGGGAAGCGGAAUUCCGGGUGUAGCGGUGAAAUGCGUAGAUAUCCGGAGGAACACCGGUGGCGAAGGCGGCUUCCUGGACCGAUCACUGACGCUGAGGCGCGAAAGCGUGGGGAGCAAACAGG
rnacentral:rRNA from 1 species